GGCGGCCCUGGAGGGGAGGAGGGGGACCUGGAACUUCCGGUGGAGCGGGAAAUGCGUAGAGAUCGGGAAGGAACGCCAGCGGCAAAAGCGAGGUCCUGGCCUCUCACUGACGUUGAGGCGCGAAAGCCAGGGGAGCGAACGGGAUUAGAUACCCCGUUAGUCCUGGCCGUAAACCAUGGGCACUGGGUAGGGGGCUCGCCGAUGGGCCCCCUGCCGCAGCGAAAGCGUGAAGUGCCCCGCCUGGGGAGUAUGGUCGCAAGGUUGAAACUCAAAGGAAUUGACGGGGGCUCACACAAGCGGUGGAGCAUGUGGCUUAAUUCGAGGCUACGCGCAAAACCUUAUCCCGGGCUUGACAUGCACGGAUUAGCCGGCGGAAACGUCGGUGAGGCCGCAAGGUACAACGUGCACAGGUGUUGCAUGGCUGUCGUCAGCUCGUGUCGCGAGAUGUUGGGUUCAGUCCCGUAACGGGCGAAACCCCUGUGACUAGUUGCCAGCGAGAAAGCCGGGCACUCUAGUCAGACCGCCGGCGUCAAGCCGGAGGAAGGCGGGGAUGACGUCAAGUCCUCAUGGCCCUUAUGCCCGGGGCUGCACACGUGCUACAAUGGGCCGGACAAAGCGUCGCGAUGCCGCAAGGCCGAGCCAAUCGCAAAAACCGGCCCUCAGUUCGGAUUGCGGGCUGCAACCCGCCCGCAUGAAGCUGGAAUCGCUAGUAAUCGCGGGUCAGCACUGCCGCGGUGAAUACGUUCC
rnacentral:rRNA from 1 species